GGCAGUGUAGGGGAGAGGCAGUAGUAGUAGCGACUAGCGAGGAAGGAAGAGAAGAGGAGAUUCAGGGAAGAGAAGGAAACGAUGUAAAAAGAGCAAGAACAUUUGAUAGUGUAGAGAUGGUAUCGAAACGGAGAUGGCGAGUGACUCAAGUGAGGAGGAGGGAGUUGAGAAAAAGGUAGAUGUCAAAAUGAUAGUCCGGUUUGCUGAGGAGGGAGGUAUAGGAAAAAUGAACCCGUUAAAGCUAACAAAGGAGUUGACAGGAAAGUGCGGUGAUAUAAAGUUUGCUAGGGUUUUAGGAGAUGGAAAUCUGUUGAUUGGUUGCUCGGAUGAGCUUCAGGUAGUUCUGACAAAUAAUCUAACAAUGGUUGGUGUUAACAAAGUGGUGCAGGUUGGAUUGCAGAGAGAGAAACGUUGCAAAGGGGUGAUAACAGGAAUCUCUCUGGAUAUUGAGGAGCAGGAGAUUAAAGAGAACUUGAUGGCCAAAGGCAUAGAAGUGAUUAGUAUUAAGAGGAUGGCAAGGGGCCCUGAAAAGGAAAUGAGUGAAUCUGUAUUGGUGGAGCUUAAAGGAGAAGUAUUACCAGAUAGAGUAUUUCUAGGGUUCCUGUGUUUCUAUGUGAGGGCUUACAUACCUAAGCCAAUGAGGUGCUUUCAGUGUCAAAGAUUUGGGCACAUCGCUAAAAUCUGUAAGGAAAAGAGGUGUGCGAAAUGCUCAGGGGAUCAUGAGUAUGGGAAGUGUGAGGGGGCCAAGUUAAAAUGUUGUAGUUGUGGGGGUGAACAUGUCGUCAAUUUUGGAGGCUGUGAAUUAAUGAAAGAGGAAGUUGCAGUUCAGAAGGUAAAAGUGAUGGACAAAGUGACCUAUGCAGAGGCAGUGAAAGUGGUAAAACAGAGGCACGGUGCUAAGAGUCAGGGGUUGGUAGCAGCCUGGGGAGGCGGAAGGUAAGUGACAAGGGAGUCGGUGGGAGAGAAGCAAGAUAGGAAUAAAGUGUGGGUAGAUAAGAAGCAGGUGGUGAUUUUUGUUGCAGCAGUGAUAAACUCCACUAGAGACUCCACAUCAAAGACAACGAGCAUACAGAUAAUAGCUAAGGCAGCCAAGGAUUAUUUGGGGAUGGAAGGGUUAAAAUGGGACCUUUGGUAGCCGAAAUAAAUACACAAGAGUAGUCGGGAGCCGGUGAGAAAACAUCAUAACCAUGGUGAAAAUUCUACAGUGGAAUGCUAGGAGCUUGGUGGCAAUGGCCGGGAGUUUAAAUAUUUUUUAAGUCAAAUGAAAGGAAAACCACAAGUAAUAUGCAUUCAAGAAACGUUUUUGAAACCAGUGUUAGAUUUUGUUAUAUAUGGAUAUGUAUGUAUAAGAAGAGACAGGAGUGAAGGUGAAGGGGCUGGUGGAGGGUGUGUAACAUUUAUCAAGCAAGGUAUAUCAUACAGGGUAUUGGAUAUUGGAACGGAACAAGAGUAUAGUGGUGGAGGUAUGGGAGGGGGGAGAUGAGUUUGUUGUUGUUAAUUACUAUAAUCCAUGCCAAAGGUUAGAGAAUGAUAAACUAGUUAGGAUUAAAGGUAUAGAAAGACACAGGAUAAUAUGGUGUGCAGACUUCGAUGCUCAUAACACAAUGUGGGGAGGGAAUCAUACAGACACGAAUGGGAAAGUGAUUGAAGAGUUAAUGGAGGACAAUAAUCUUGUUUGUUUGAAUGAUGGGAGGGAGACAAGGAUGGAUAUAAGAACAAGUAAUGAGUCUGGUUGGAUCUGACGUUGGUGUCAGUACGUUUGGCAGGGAUCAGUAACUGGGAGGUUUUGACAGGUAAAUCUUUAGGUAGUGACCACUAUGUGUUAGUUUGUUCAGUAGGAGGAGAAGUGAAUGUUGGAAAUGGAAUUCAGAAAUGGGUGUAUAGUAAAGCAGAAUGGGGUACAUUUAAGUUGGUCAGUGAAGAAGUUAUUGUUUCAGUUGUUACUAGUGGAGAUAUAGAUACAGUAAAUAACAGUGUUACAUCAGCAAUUAUUGCUGCAGCAAGCAAAUCUAUUCCAAGAAGUAAAAAUAGAAGGGAUAGGAAGUUAGUUCCUUGGUGAACAGAGGAGUGUUCCAAGGCAGUUAAAGCCCGAAACAAAGCAUUUAAGUCAAAAGAGAGCAUAAUACACAAAGUCUGGUGGAGUAUCAGAGGGCACAGGCACUGGUAAAGAGAGUUACAAAGAGAACACAGAGGGUAAGCUGGAGACAGUUUUGUGGUAAGAUAGGAAGAACAACACCAAUAGGAGAAGUGUGGGGAAUGAUAAGGAAGAUGGGAGGAGAAAGAAGGGAGUGGGAGUACCCAGUGAUUACGUUAGAGGAGAAAACUGCAAUAUGUGAUAAAGAUAAGGCUGAUUUGAUGGCCAAAUCUUUUGCUAAGGUGCAUAGUGUUGAUCAGUUGACAGUGGAAGGGAGAAGAGAAGUUACUUCGAGUAAUUCUCCUGAUGUGCUAGUUAGGAGAGUAGAUUCUAGGGAGAAAAUAGAUGAUGGAUUUACAAUGGCAGAGCUUGUGAGAGCAAUUAAAAAAGCAAAGCCCUCAGCUCCAGGGGGAGAUCAGGUGAGCUAUGUAAUGUUAAAACAUCUAGGAGAAAGAGGAAUGGAAAAAUUGUUAGAACUAUAUAAUAGAGUAGGGGUGGAGGGAAAGUUACCAAGUGUAUGGAAGGAAGCGGUGGUGAUUCCGAUUAGGAAACCAGGGAAAGAUCCAGGUAAACCUUCUAGUUAUAGGCCAAUAGCAUUAACGUCUAACAUAUGUAAAAUAAUGGAGAGAUUGGUGACCGAAAGGUUAACGUAUGAGCUUGAGAAGAAAGGGUUGUUGACAAGUGGUCAAAGUGGUUUCAGAAAAGGGAGACAUACAAUGGAUGCAGUGGUAAGGCUUGAAAAUGAGAUACGGAAAGCACAGGCAAACAAAGAGUCAGUGGUGGUAGUGUUUUUUGAUAUCGAAAAAGCAUAUGACAUGAUGUGGAAGGAAGGUUUGUUAAUUAAGUUGUACAAGAUGGGGGUAGGUGGAAGGGUUUUUAACUGGAUAAAGAAUUUUUUGUUUGACAGAAAAAUACAAGUCCGGAUUGGGUCUGAAUUGUCAAAUAAGUAUAUGGUGGGGAAUGGCACUCCCCAAGGAAGUGUAAUUAGUCCUUUAUUGUUUAUAAUCAUGAUAAAUGAUGUUUUUUCAAAGGUACCAGAGGAUAUAGGAAGUUCUCUGUUUGCAGACGAUGGGGCUUUGUGGAAAAGGGAAAGAAAUGUGAUGCAUAUUAUUAGUGAAGUCCAGUCUGCAAUUGAUGGGGUGACAGAGUGGGGAUUUGACUGGGGGUGCAGAUUUUCGGUAGAGAAAACUCAAACUGUAUUUUUCACUAGGAAAAGAAUUGAGGAUGGGAUGAAAUUGAGGAUGUAUGAGAAAGAGUUGGAAAGAGUUGGCUCAUUUAAAUAUUUGGGAGUUAUUUUUGAUUCUAGGGUAACAUGAGCAGACCAUAUUAGGAAGAUAGAGGAUAAAUGCAAAAAGGUAAUAAAUGUGAUGAGAUGUUUGACUGGUAGGGAUUGGGGAGCGAGCUGUUCAGCUUUAAAGACUAUAUAUUAUGUAGCUAUGAUUAGAUCUGUGUUUGAUUAUGGGUGUAUAGUGUAUGGGUCAGCCGCAGUGUCUCUCUUGAGAAAGCUGGACGUGAUUCAGGCUAAGGCAUUAAGGGUAUGCAGUGGGGCUUUUAAAUCCUCACCAGUGCCUGCUCUGCAGGUAGAAAUGGGGGAAAUGCCACUGGAGUUGAGAAGGAAACAAUUGAUGGGGAACUAUUGGGCUAAUCUGCGAGGGCACAGUGAGUCUCACCCCACAAAAGGAGUGUUGAAAGAGUGCUGGGUUUAUGGGAAGUGUGAGAGGAAUCAUUUUGGUCGGGUGGGGAAUGAUAUAGCGAAAGAUUUUGGUGUGGGUGAAUUGAAGCUUAGUCCAACAGUGGUAUAUCCAUUAAUGCCGCCAUGGAGGAUGGUGUGGCCAGAGGUGGACUGGUUUGUGUUGGAGAUAAAGAAGAGAGAGAGAGAGAACAGAUAGACCUGGCUAGUGUUUUUAAUAUUCAUCUUCUUAUAGAGUACAGUGAGUAUGUUCAUGUUUUUACAGAUGGUGCCAAACAACCUGAGACAGGAGUGACAGGGUUUGGAGUAGUUGGUCCAUCAAAAAGAAUAGAGUUUAAUAGAAGAACAUCAGAUAAUUUAAGCGUUUAUACAGUGGAGAUGUUGGGGGUGCUGGUCGCAUUAAAAUGGGUGGAAUCAAGUACAGUUGAAAAAAUUGUGAUCUGUACAUAUUCAGCAUCAGUUUUGGCAAGUAUGAGGUCUUUUUAUUCAAGUAGUCACUAAGGUUUGUUAUAUGAAGUUCUACAGUCAACUACGAGAAUCAUUCAGCAGGGGAGGCAAAUACAUUUUUUAUGGGUUCCAGCUCAUGUAGGGGUGAAGGGAAAUGAGAAAGCCGAUAAGAUGGCGAAGAAGGCAUUGGAGAAGGAAAAAGUAUAAAUGAAUAUCAGUUUAAGUAAGGCAGAAGUUAAAAGCCUGAUAUGGGGAAAAGUUAACAAAAUGUGGCAAGACAAAUGGGACAGUGAGGAGAAAGGGAGAUAUUUAUAUAAUAUUCAAAAAAGUGUUAAUGUUAAAAUAAGGUAUAGUGGUCAGAGGAAGGAUGAACACAUUUUGAUAAGGUUAAGGUUGGGGCACAGUGCACUAAAUAAAACAAUGAAUUUGAUAGGAAAACACCCCACAGGAUUAUGUGAGGGGUGCCAGGUAGAGGAGGCAGUGGAACAUGUUUUAAUGAACCGUAGUGGUUAUGGGAUGGAGAGGGAAAGUAUGAAAAAUCAAUUGAGAGAAUUGGGUAUGCAGGAGUAUACUUUGGAAAAUAUUUUAAGAUUAAUGAAGAGGAAUUGUAUAAAAGUAUUGUUUGGCUUUUUGAGAGAAACAGGGUUAUAUGAUAGGAUAUAGAGUAGAAAGAAGGUGUGAAUGAGUGAGUGUUUGGAUAUUUUUGUUUUGAUUCAUUAACUGGAUCAGAAGAGGGCGGUAAUGCAACAAGUUGUGGAUGCCCACCGCCGUAAAACCCCAAGAAGAAGAAGAAGAAGACGGAUGCAGGAACCGGAAACACGCUCCUCACACGUGUGUCUACGUCCGUGGUGUGGAAACAGAGUCGAGUGUACUUGUAACAGUUUGUAAUUUAUCUUUCUUUAUAUAAAUAGCACGCUGAGGCAGUGCACGAAGUUUUCGGGUCAACAUGAAAACCCCGGGAGAGUGUGUUACGACUGAAAUAUCAGAGCCCGAGUUAACAGAAGAGCCCGAAAGCACGCAGGACGUGGAUAAAGUUACACGGACUCGUAGCGGACGCAGGGUCCGCACGCCAGCCCUCUUGGCCGACUCUCAGGUCCCUAGUCCAGCAAAGCCCUCCACACGCAGGACGAGGAAAUCUGUUAUUUCUUUGGAUAAAGGAAAUUCGGAGGAAGGACACACCAUGACGAGUAUAUCAGAGGCGCCCGUAGGAGAGUCUACAGAUUCCCCCAUAAUGCUUGAAAACGAGUCCAAUAAAUCAGAAGGACGUAUAGAAACGGUCCCUAGUACGAUGGAAACGGCCCCCGUACACCCCGGUGAAAAGCCCCAGGAGGCGGCUCUAUUUGUCCCGGGAACGAAACAGACCACGGCAUCACAGAUACCUCUGGGAAAACCGAAAUCGGGUCGAGUAUGGAAGGACCGGAAUAAACAAAGGUUCUCUGCAGUGGUCAGGGAUAAGCCCCUGCGUACUUCUUGGGGAAAAAAGAUGGCAGCCAAACAAGAGCAGCAGUUGGUCAAAAAGUUCUCCCUUCAACUUAAACAAGACAAAGCCAAAGAGAAAGAGGACAAGAGGAAACGGACGGAGGAAACAUUGAAACGACGUGCUGAGAAUGAGCGCAAGUCAGAGAUUGUUCAAGUGAUCCGGAAUACAUCAAAGAUAAAGAGGAUGAAGAAGAAACAGCUGAGGAAAGUUGAGAAGAGGGAUACAUUGGCCAUACUGCAGAAGACCCAAAAUGAGAAGGCAAAGGGUCAGCGUAGCCGGAAAGAAAAAGUUGUUGAUAAAUAAUGCGGUAGCCAAAAAUCUGUGCUCCGUCAGUAACUUCUAUUCCAUUGAUGCUGUUCUUUUUUGAUAAAAUGAAGCUUAUAUUUCAGUGCAUUUAUCUAAAUACAUUAAAAAAAUGCUCAAUAAGAAA